rnacentral:rRNA from 1 species
UUGCUUUCUUGCUGACGAGUGGCGGACGGGUGAGUAAUGCUUGGGAAUCUGGCUUAUGGAGGGGGAUAACGACGGGAAACUGUCGCUAAUACCGCGUAUUAUCGGAAGAUGAAAGUGCGGGACUGAGAGGCCGCAUGCCAUAGGAUGAGCCCAAGUGGGAUUAGGUAGUUGGGGGGGUAAAUGCCUACCAAGCCUGCGAUCUCUAGCUGGUCUGAGAGGAUGACCAGCCACACUGGAACUGAGACACGGUCCAGACUCCUACGGGAGGCAGCAGUGGGGAAUAUUGCGCAAUGGGGGGAACCCUGACGCAGCCAUGCCGCGUGAAUGAAGAAGGCCUUCGGGUUGUAAAGUUCUUUCGGUAUUGAGGAAGGUUGAUGUGUUAAUAGCACAUCAAAUUGACGUUAAAUACAGAAGAAGCACCGGCUAACUCCGUGCCAGCAGCCGCGGUAAUACGGAGGGUGCGAGCGUUAAUCGGAAUAACUGGGCGUAAAGGGCACGCAGGCGGUUAUUUAAGUGAGGUGUGAAAGCCCUAGGCUUAACCUAGGAAUUGCAGUUCAGACUGGGUAACUAGAGUACUUUAGGGAGGGGUAGAAUUCCACGUGUAGCGGUGAAAUGCGUAGAGAUGUGGAGGAAUACCGAAGGCGAAGGCAGCCCCUUGGGAAUGUACUGACGCUCAUGUGCGAAAGCGUGGGGAGCAAACAGGAUUAGAUACCCUGGUAGUCCACGCUGUAAACGCUGUCGAUUUGGGGGUUGGGGUUUAACUCUGGCG